rnacentral:miRNA from 1 species
UUUUGAUUUGACAGAACUAGC